AAUCCUAAGCAACCAACCAGUACAAAACACAGCAACCAUCAGAAAAGAACAAACAGAACGCCGGCUGCUUCAGACCAAGGGGCAAAAAUGAAGGAUGGGGAUUAGGGAAAAUCUAACCAAAAUUGACACCUGACCGAAGUUGAUGCUCUCAGAACCUCUCUUCUGGUAACUGGAACUGGGACUCAGAAAUUUGACAGGGUCUAGCUCUGUCACUCAGGCUGGAGUGCAGUG